UCACUUUGGCAGUGCAUAUACUGAAACUGGAACAGUACAGACACGAUUAGCAUGGCCUCUGCACAAGGAUGAUAUACAAAUUUGUGAAGCGUUCUAUAUUUUC